rnacentral:misc_RNA from 1 species
CUCACGGGCACCACAAAACAACACCUACAAAAAGCGAAAAGUUUUUUGUAGAAACAACGUUUUUUUAUAAUCAACAGCUCUCUUUGUGGCCUAGAUUGUUUGCCUUCUCUCUCUCUAUCUCUUCAUGGAUGUCAGUGGAAGCACCCGUGACCUCUCACUCUCCCUGUCAAUGAUUCUCUCUUCUAACAAUGUCACUUACCACCUAAGCCAAAGUACCAAGUACUUGUAGCUUCCUACCUUAUGCAUAUAUAUACCAUUUAGGCCCAGCCUGUUUCUACAUGACACCCUUCUCCAAAUUUUACUUUCUUCUUCUCAUUCUUGUUCAGAAAAAAGAGAAAAAAGAAGAAGAAAUGUCAAAAUCUCAUAAUGUUUUCUACAUCUUCUUUCUUUUUAUUCUCCUUCAUAAUUCAGGCCUCUCAUUAGGCCAUUCAAAAGGAAUUAGACCCCGGAAGUCUCCUGGGAAUCUUCCAACAAUAAACGAGACUAGAGUCCAGUUCUCUGAACAGCAAUUCAUGAAGUGGGUCAAGUUUGUUGGCAGCUUAAAGCACUCCCUUUUCAAGGCAGGAAAGAAUAAGCUCUUUCCUUCUUAUAAUCUUGUUGUGGACAAGAAUCCAGCAGCUGGAGAUUUUACAUCCAUUCAAGACGCUAUUGAUUCUCUUCCAUUCAUUAAUCUUGUGAGAGUGGUCAUCAAGGUCCAUGCAGGAGUUUACAAGUGAGUUAUUUCUUUUUCUCCCACUCGGGCAUAUUUUCUUGUCCUUAUGUUUCUUGGCGGUCUUCUGGUUUUGGCUUUGGCUCUGCCAAAUUGGUCUGCUUGUGCUGAAGCAUGGAUUCUAGAGUCGUUUGUCUAUAUUCACUUCUAUGUUAUUUCUUGUUCAUUGUGAUAAGUAGAUGAAAUUGAUUCCAGGUUUUAUUUUAUGUUUUGUAUUUUUCCUUCAAUCAAAAUGCUUGCCAUUGACUAAUAAAUAGUAUAGGAAAUGGGUUUAUUUUAUUAAAGAUAUGAAAUAACUUUUGCAGAGAGAAAGUUAAUAUACCUCCCUUAAAAUCCUUCAUAACCAUAGAAGGAGCAGGAGCAGAUAAAACAAUUGUACAAUGGGGAGACACUGCUCAAACACCAGGGGCGAAAGGGCAACCUAUGGGGACCUACAAUUCUGCAACUUUUGCUGUGAAUUCACCUUAUUUUAUUGCCAAGAACAUUACAUUCAAGGUAAUCCAGUCUUCAUCAUCUUCUUCUACCGCUAAAAUAUAUAUCCUCUGUCCCUCUUUUUCCCUCUCAUUAUAUAUUCAAGAAAUAUGGAGCAGAAUACAACACCAGUGCCACCACCAGGAGCAAUAGGAAAGCAAGCAGUAGCAUUUAGAAUAUCAGCAGAUACAGCAGUUUUCUUGGGGUGUAGAUUCUUAGGAGCACAGGACACACUAUAUGAUCAUCUGGGCAGGCAUUAUUACAAGGAUUGUUACAUUGAAGGUUCUGUGGACUUCAUCUUUGGGAAUGGCUUGUCUUUAUUUGAGGUCUGAUUCUUUCCUACCUUUGUUAAUUACUUAAUUUCCAACGUUUUUUCUUUUUAAAUUAGGGGAAGAUCGUAUAUUUUAACUCACACAAGCAGCCUAUGCUUAACUGAUCAGCCAAUAAUUUUAAUAUGCAUAUUUUUUUCAUAGCAAUUUUAAAAUACUUAAUAAUUAUAUACCUACUCUGUCUUCUUACUAUCUUGGCUAAAAGAAUUUAUUUAGCUCUGUUGGAUUAUUCGACCCAAAGAAUAAUAAAAAUAUGUGAAUCUCUAUGACUGUUAUUCCAUCAUAUAGGACAUAUUUUUUAUGUAAUGGCAGAUAUAAUUAAGCUGGCUAAGGUCCAGAUUUAGAUUGAAAUCAGUGGUUUUAUUUUCAGAAUUAUGAGGAUCAGAAUUAGACUGAAGAGUCUUCUGAUCCUAAUUUAAUUUUAAUAAUAACAAAUGGGGUCAUGAAUUUAACUUUUGGACCAGUCCCUUGAAUAUCCAAAAUCUCUCUUAAAGUCAAAAAGGGUGUAUCAUUUCUCAAAUAAUUGAAUAUGUAAUAAUUCAUUGAUUUAAUGUUUUCGAUGUAAUAAUAAGAUUUGAUUAAUGUUUGAUUGUGUUGAAAAAUAGUUGUAAAGGAAAGAAAAUAACAGAGUUAGAUUUGCAGGGUUGUCACGUGCAUGCAAUAGCACAGAAUAUUGGAGCUCUAACAGCACAAGGAAGAGGCAGUAUCCUGGAGGACACGGGGUUUUCAUUCGUGAACUGUAAGGUCACGGGGUCAGGAGCUCUGUACCUUGGAAGGGCAUGGGGUCCUUUUUCAAGAGUCGUGUUUGCUUACACUUACAUGGACAACGUUAUCAUACCUAAAGGCUGGUAUAACUGGGGAGACCCUACCCGUGAAAUGUAAUUCCUUCUCUCUAUCCUCUCCUCCAUCUGUUAUUUGAAUCUAUCAUAAAUAAGCAUACAGAAAAGGGUUUCAAACCACGAGGGGUAGCUCGGAUGGUAAACGAGAUCCAUGGGCGGACUGUGAGAAGCAAAACAAACUAUGCCUCUUGUGGUUAGGAGAGUCUCAUCUCACCACCCCAAGCCGGGAUUAGUCUCAUAUGCAAAAGCGGGCAAGGACACUCGGGGAUAUUCCAAAAUAAUAUAAGUAUCUAUCAUGCAUCAACACAUCAGAAUUGAAAUUUUUUAAAUUGAAAGCGUACAAUUUUGAGCAAAUGGUCAUGAUUGCACAGUUGCUUUUUGGAGGUACUGAUUCAUUUUUUGUUUUAUCCAAAAUGGGAGCCUUAGUGGAAAUUUGGACGGUGCCACACCUUCCUCCAUAAUCUGCACUUGAUAGGUUUAGGUGAGAAACAGCUUUUCUGCAGAUGAAUGACCUAAAUACCCACCAAAAUCUAAUCCAACAUUCUCCACUUACUUUAAUCCAUGGGUAGAUUCGGCAAAUGAGGACAAAAAUGGACGGUCAGAAUUGGGGGAAACCAUACCCAUGAACAUAUAUAUGUCCUUUACUCCUUUUCCUUCCCUAGGACUGCAUAAUCUACGUGUAAUGCACCUCUAAAGAUUGCAUAGAAAAAAAACUAUGCAUUAUUCCUUGCUUGUGCUAGCCUAUUUAAAAUUUAGGCCACGCCAGAGCUGCAUAGACAUGGAAACCUAAUCCCUGGCUUGUUAUGUUCAGGUUUGGCAUUUUCAGCUUGUCCAGAGCAAAGUGUCCAAAUGCAUGAGGCUUUUAUAGGUUUUGGUGCUAAUGGCUGUUUUGGUUUGGCAGGACUGUGUUCUAUGGGCAAUACAAGUGCACAGGACCAGGAGCUAGCUUCGCAGGGAGAGUCUCAUGGUGUAGAGAACUCACUGAUCAGGAGGCUAAGCCUUUUAUUUCCCUCAGCUUCAUUGAUGGGUCUGAAUGGAUCAAAAUAUAAACGUAUUUAUAUUUUUCACAGUAUAAUUUUAUGUCCUUGUCAAUUAGCAUUUGUAAAAGCCAUCUUAGUGAUAAUUUUGAUCCAAAAUUUAUAUGCAAACCUUUUUU